GAAUUAGUAACUCAAUUGGUAGAGUAUUUCCUUGUCACGGAAAGAGAUAUCGGUUCGAAUCCAUGUGACUAA